UGCAAUUAUAGUGCACUUUGUGUCCUCUUCUCCACUUCCGCGAUUUCCUUUCUUCCUCUCUGUUCACCGUGAUCGCACCGAUCCUCGCCAGUUCCUUUCUUCUCCCCUCACCAUCGCCGGCGUGGAUGUACGUUCAGAGCUUCAAGAGGGAGUGAAGUCGCGGCCACUGGAGUCAGAUCUGGACCAACAUCGACUAUUUAGGGGAGGUAACAGUCACUGUACCCUCUAUUCUAUACCCGAUCUCCCUUUCCACUUAGCGCCAAGAGUACUCCGUUGCCCUGCGGUGAUCUUGAAGGCAAAGGCUUCGCUUGGUUCCCGUCAUCACAUUGUCGACAGUUUGUAGCCAACUUCACCGGAUCUGUGCCACCACAGGCUGCUGAGGAAGAAGAGGACACUGAUUGGUGACGAAUAACGUGACGUGGGGGUUCUUUCAUAGAUGUGUUACAUAAAGGAACUUAGGAGCACAUGAAGUCGAGCAAAAAAUGCAGCUAGGAAGAAGGACAGUAUGGGAGAGAGCUGAUGGGCUCAGUAUGUCCGAGGGACGAGGUGCUACGGAAGAGUAUGCAAGCGGACAAGGAGGCAUGCGGCAUUUCCGAGGGAUGAGAUGCCGGACCGGAAGAAUGCUCGAAGGCCGGAAGUUGGGUUUAGGUGAGCCCUAUUCCGGAUGGCCGAGAUUGACCAAGCGAGUGGGACCAGAGCGGAAGACCCCGAGCCAAAAAGUUAACUAGAAGUUGACUUUCUGGUUCGAGCGCUCAGAACCAAAAGUUAUCGAUUUGCGACAUGGCACGAUCCAUUACGACAGAGAUAAAGUUUUAUCCCCUCCCAGACACCUCGAACUCUUUCAGGCACCUCGAUCAAAGCUAUAAAUACAACCAUGGUUCCAAAAGCUUAGACAGAACACUUGUAAAUGAUUUCUUUUGUCUAGCUUCGUAAUUUAAGUACUUCAACUACUGUAAGAGUUUUCUUCACCUGAAGGAGUGUUUAGUGGACUUUUAACUUCCUUGGAUUAACAACCUCCCUAGUUGUAACCAAGUAAUUUCUAUGUGCAUUUUCUUUUUAAUUUAUAUCUUUUAAUUAUUUUUAUGUAAGUGUUAAUUUUGAUAAAGUUAUAAAGAUCGAGGAAUGUUCAUUUUUAUUUACAAGGCUAUCCCCCCCCCUCCCCUCUAGUCGACCGCCAAGGGUCUUACAUAUAGUGGUAUCUAGAGGGUAAUACAAUUAUCAUGAACCCAAGUCUCUGGGCCAUACAGGGGUUGUGGUGUCUUGAGGGGUGGCGAGAGUGACCAUGUGGCAUGCAUGAGCAUUUGCAUAUGAUGAGCAGUGCAUCUGUAGAUAUAUAUCUGCAUACAUAUCUUAUAGUUACUAGCUACAUGUGAUUGUGAUAUGUUGCACUUGUUUGAGUUAUGAUUGAUGCAUAUGGUUGUCAUGCUUCAUACAUGUCAUUUAUUAUACAUGUAUAUGUUGUCGGUUAUAUUGCUCAAGUGUUAUGAGCAGAUCUGUUGCUGAUCCUCGAUGAGUUUAUUGAUCAUUAUACCGUAUGUGUCGAUUCCAGAUUGGGUAUGUGCAUUUAUUAUGUUUUUUUUUAAUCUUGACCUUAUGUGUUAGAUCUAGAUUGGGUAUGUAUGUUUAUUAUGUCAUGUGUGAUCAUGAUCUUAUGCGUUAGAUCUAGAUUAGGUAUGUGUAGUCAUCAUGUUUGUUAUGUUUAGAUGCAUUGAUUAUGUCUGUAUGAUCAUGUUCUUAUUUCCCUACUAAGACUAUAUACUUUGAUCUCCAUAUUUUAUAUAGAUUAUGCACUAUCUUAUCUAUUACCCGCUGAAUGACCGGCACUCAUC